rnacentral:rRNA from 1 species
AGAGUUUGAUCAUGGCUCAGAACGAACGCUGGCGGCAGGCUUAACACAUGCAAGUCGAGCGCCCCGCAAGGGGAGCGGCGGACGGGUGAGUAACACGUGGGAAUAUGCCCUUCGGUGCGGAACAACUCAGGGAAACUUGAGCUAAUACCGCAUGAUCCGGCAACGGCAAAGAUUUAUCGCCGAGGGAUUAGCCCGCGUCCGAUUAGCUAGUUGGUGAGGUAAUGGCCCACCAAGGCUCCGAUCGGUAGCUGGUUUGAGAGAACGACCAGCCACACUGGGACUGAGACACGGCCCAGACUCCUACGGGAGGCAGCAGUGGGGAAUCUUGGACAAUGGGGGAAACCCUGAUCCAGCCAUGCCGCGUGAGUGAUGAAGGCCUUCGGGUUGUAAAACUCUUUCGACGGGGACGAUAAUGACGGUACCCGUAGAAGAAGCUCCGGCUAACUUCGUGCCAGCAGCCGCGGUAAUACGAAGGGGGCUAGCGUUGUUCGGAAUUACUGGGCGUAAAGCGCGCGCAGGCGGCUCCUCAAGUCAGGGGUGAAAGCCCAAGGCUCAACCUUGGAGUUGCCUUUGAAACUGUGGAGCUUGAGUACGGGAGAGGUGAGUGGAAUUCCCAGUGUAGAGGUGAAAUUCGUAGAUAUUGGGAAGAACACCGGUGGCGAAGGCGGCUCACUGGCCCGUUUCUGACGCUCAGGCGCGACAGCGUGGGGAUCAAACAGGAUUAGAUACCCUGGUAGUCCACGCCGUAAACGAUGGACGCUAGCCGUUGGCAGGCUUGCCUGUCAGUGGCGCAGCUAACGCAUUAAGCGUCCCGCCUGGGGAGUACGGCCGCAAGGUUGAAACUCAAGGAAUUGACGGGGGCCCGCACAAGCGGUGGAGCAUGUGGUUUAAUUCGACGCACGCGCAGAACCUUACCAGGGCUUGACAUCCUGUGCUCGCCGGAGAGAUCCGGGUUUCCCCGCAAGGGGCGCAGAGACAGUGCUGCA